rnacentral:rRNA from 1 species
UACGUAGGGUCCGAGCGUUGUCCGGAAUUACUGGGCGUAAAGAGCUCGUAGGUGGUUUGUCGCGUUGUCCGUGAAAACUCACAGCUCAACUGUGGGCGUGCGGGCGAUACGGGCAGACUGGAGUACUGCAGAGGAGACUGGAAUUCCUGGUGUAGCGGUGGAAUGCGCAGAUAUCAGGAGGAACACCGGUGGCGAAGGCGGGGCUCUGGGCAGUAACUGACGCUGAGGAGCGAAAGCGUGGGGAGCAAA